rnacentral:rRNA from 1 species
UACGUAGGGUGCAAGCGUUGCCCGGAUUUAUUGGGCGUAAAGGGCGCGUAGGCGGCUCUGCACGUUCGUUGUGAAAUCGCCCGGCUCAACUGGGCGGGGUCAGCGGAUACGGCAGAGCUUGAGCAAGCUAGGGGGCAAUGGAAUUCCCGGUGUAGUGGUGGAAUGCGUAGAUAUCGGGAGGAACACCGGUGGCGAAGGCGGCGACCUGGGUAGAUACUGACGCUGAGGUGCGAAAGCGUGGGGAGCAAACAGG